UUGAUACUUACCCUACCGAAGUAUCCGCCAGAGAACUACGAGCACAAACGCUUAAAACUCUAAGGACUUGGCGGUGCCCUAAACCCACCUAGAGGAGCCUGUUCUGUAAUCGAUGAUCCACGAUCAACCCAACCGCCCCUUGCCAAGCACAGCCUACAUACCGCCGUCGCCAGCCCACCUCGAAUGAGAGCGCAACAGUGGGCGCAACAGCACCCCGCUAAUAAGACAGGUCAAGGUAUAGCCUAUGGGACGGAAGAAAUGGGCUACAUUCCCUAUGCAUAGGGCAACACGGAAAGAAGUAUGAAACUGCUUCUAGAAGGAGGAUUUAGCAGUAAAGCGGGACAAUAAAGCUCGCUUUAAGCCGGCCCUAGGGCACGUACACACCGCCCGUCACCCUCA
rnacentral:rRNA from 1 species